CCUACGGGUGGCAGCAGUGAGGAAUAUUGGUCAAUGGGCGCGAGCCUGAACCAGCCAAGCCGCGUGAGGGAGGACGGCACUGUGGAUUGUAAACUUCUUUUAUCAGGGAAUAAAGAGUGGUAUGUGUACUCGGUUGCAUGUACCUGAUGAAAAAGCAUCGGCUAACUCCGUGCCAGCAGCCGCGGUAAUACGGAGGAUCCGAGCGUUAUCCGGAUUUAUUGGGUUUAAAGGGAGCGUAGGCGGGUUGUUAAGUCAGGUGUUAAAGUUUGGGGCUCAACCGUCGAAUCGCGGUUGAUACUGGCAGCCUUGAGUACAGUAGAGGUAUGCGGAAUUCGUGGUGUAGCGGUGAAAUGCAUAGAUAUCACGCAGAACUCCGAUUGCGAAGGCAGCAUGCUGG
rnacentral:rRNA from 1 species